UGACUAUUAACAUUGUUCUCUUCGUAAUAACUCUGGCUAAAAUAAUUUCAUUUAGAAAAGAAAAUGCGUGUAUUCUCAAGACGCAAGACAGUACGAACACAGUUAAAGAAUCUUUGAAAUUUGAUAUAGAAAGGCUGAAGCUUUUUGCGAAACUCUCCCUUUUGAUGGGUCUCACAUACGUGUCGGAAUUCGCUUCUUGGGCGAAUUAUUUAUUUGCGUACUACUGGUACGCAUCUAAUGUGGCUAUCGCUUUGAGGGCCGUGCUCGUUUUCAUCGUUUUCUGCUGCAAGAGAAAGGUGUGGAUCUCCAUGAAACUUCAGUACCCCGUUGUUAAAACUAUUCACAGCAGAUUCACUGCGAUGAAGUUGCUGUGUUGCAAAAGACGACAAUUUGAGCUCUCAAAACUGAAAGAAAAUGAAAGUGCAACGCGGUCAACUGGAACCAGUGGAGCGAAACCGUCAGGUCCGUCAGAUGAAAAUUUAGAAAUGAAUGUUAUCUAAAUAAUUUUUGCUUAAUAUAUUUAAUUAAAAAUUCAAUUCUUUUUUAAUUGUUGGGUGCGGAUUUCAAUUGUAAAAUUGGUCGCGAGCGUCAACUCGCAGGUUGUUGCCAAGUAAAAUUAUUGAUUUUCGCUAUCUCUAUUUCUAGGACUCAAAAUGAAACCGGUCUUGAAUGUAUUAAUUUCUCAAAAGUAAAUGAAUAACAAAACUUCAUCCUCGUUCAUUCCAGAGUUGUUAAUUUCAUUGGAUUUUUGUACAACUUGCUUUCUACGCCACGCCAACACAAACUAAAAAAUUUAACAAAUAUCGAGAUACUGAUUAGAAAAUCUGCACUUAAUUCGUGGCCGUCGUAUCCCGCUGCCGCAUCAGCAAAAUCUCCUCUCUCUGGCGGCGCAGCUCGCCUGCAUCGCGAGUAGUAGUGAAAAUGAGAAACGAUAUGCAACCCGCGCUCAAAGACUGUUCGGUGGUGCAGAUUCCUUCCCUUUUUGUAAGGCGUAUGUGAUGGCAAGAUUUUAACGUGUAUUUUGAUGUCAUUUUAAUUCAUAUUAUUUUCUAGUCUUGGCUCACUUCGGCUGUGUUAUCCUGACAGAAGUGUUUAAUAGAAGUUUCGCCCAUUCUCACAUAAAUAAUUGGACAGUUUUUAAGAAAUUGUCCAAUUAAGUCUGGUAAAGAUCGUAAUAUUUUAUACUACAUUAUAGGAAAGGAUAUUAGAAGCAGAAAGGAAUUGCAUCAGAGAGAUGAAAUACCGGAGGAGUAGAAAAGGUUGAAAUUAAAAUAUAUAAUAUUAUUAAUCAUUCGAGGCAAAAGAGCCGGGUGGCAUAUUUCUGACCGGGCACAUCGAGUUCAAGCGGCUCUCGGAGGGUGCAACUUGAAAUGCGGAGGUGCACUCUGAUGCUUUGCUCGGACUAAAUUUCUCGGAGCAGUUUUAGUCAGCAAAGUUUUUUUUAUUUAGAUUAAAAACUAUUUUGUGUUCUCUGGCGGAGCAACUUUUAUUCAUUUAUAUACUCCAUUAAUCAACACGCACAUUUUUUAGUAUGGUUUUUUAGUUUAGU